AUCAUAUGACUGGCAACAAAAACAUGGCAAAAACACGGCACGGCACAGAAACUGAAUCGAAAAUCCAAUAAGACAGGUCGAAAUCACUCGGCAUUCGCUGACUGCUCGUGUGUGUGCGUGGUUGGAAGGAGAGCCCCCGCCCUCGCCGCACCAUCACGCAUCCCUGCACUGACUAAACUAAACUAUAACUACAAAAAACUAAAUCAAGUCGAAACGGCGAUUGGCAAACGGCAACUACAAAGUACGCCCCUACCACCCCUUGGAACUCCCACAAGCCCAUCGUCGCGAAAAGCAGUGAUAUAUUUUGUGUUCUACAUGUAAUCACUGCUACCACUGGAAUACGGACCAGCACAGUGGGACAAAUCAAAGAAGGAAGGAAGGAAUAAGUACAACCUGGCCACCGCCGACGACUUUGUCCGGAGACCCCCACCCAGACCUAAGUGGGAGCCCGGCCUAUCCCAGAAGAGAACACACCUAGUACCUAUGCGUUGCGUUGUGACAAUAACACCACACAAUCGUGGUGAACGCAAAUGAUUUGUCUACGGAUUUUAGUGCUUUAUGACGGGCACUAGGCACCGGGCACUAUACCAUAGCGCAAACUUUAAACGUAGUCAACGGCAGCCGUCGAGCCACCCACCGUCACACCCACUGAAGCCACCGAACCACCCCUCCAAUUGACUUACCUUGAUCUUGGGAGCUUACAGGGCCUAAUCCUGGGGCACCGUGAAAAGUCUUCACUGUCAAUGCCAAUGUCAACAGUGAAAAAAAUGUAAAUUUUUGAUUACCAAGUGAGGUCUUGGAGGUCUGGAGUUCUUAUGGAGGGGCUUUAGGUACACCACAUUGUUCCUAUAGGAAAUAUAUUACGACACUUGGGAGGUAUGGGUUAUAUCCGGAAAUCAAAUCCUCGGAAUAUAAUUUGUACAAGUCUUCCUAGCAAGAUGAGCCUCUCAUAUCCUGCUAAAACUACUAUCAGGAUCAGGAGCUUUAAAGAAAAACAACCUAAGAAGAUGUAACUAAUUUAACCAGAAGAUUUAUAUAGAUCAGUAUAUAGACAAAAGUCUAAAGAACCCUAUGGCCCACCGUGCAGGUGCAAUCACUGCAAACGGGCGACGCCGAACCGAAGUGAUUCCAAAUGGGAAGAACGCGAACGAGAGCAGGGCAAGUACUCAUGAUCAUCAACAUCAGAGUUGAGUUAUCGCCUCCGUUUAUUUCCUCUGCUCCACAUUCUAUAUAGAGUCUACCCACUGAUCGAUUUUGAUUUUGCGAGAGGAGAAAGCUCCCCGGAGAGCACACGGAGAUAGCCACCCGGGGGCAUCGCCAGUGACAAUGAUAGUGUUGAUAACAAGCCCGCCUCGAGUGCUUCGCCUUUGGAUAAGAGUAAGCGAAGCUUUAGCUUUAGCGCAAAAAAAGUAAAACUCACGAUCUCAAUGGGGAGAAUUGAGGAGAGUGAGAAUUUGGAGCAGUGGUUUGGCCAUGACACCUGGAAUUUGAUGAUGCGGACGAUGACUUACCUAAGUGCCCCAAGUAUACUCUGAAAAUAUACAUAUGUAUAUGAUGGAAUAUUUAAAAAAGUAACUAAAAUGAAGAGUAAACUGGGAACUAUAAUUAAGUUGUACUUAUCAGAGAUUCAAGUUUAGUAUUUAUAUUUUCUUUAUUUUAAUUUAUUCCCUAUUCGAUCGAUUUAAAUUUAUUUUUCCCAGUGUUCCUAGAUCUCCCUGAACUCUGCGUAUUAUAAUAUCUUUCACGUCAUAGAUCGUAGUACCUCAAACAACUGAGUUUGCUCCUCAAAUCAGAGCGGGCAAAUACAACUCAACGAGGUGCUAAAAUAUCCCAUUUGUGUUCGAUCAGUGGAGCCUUUAAUUGGAAAGAUAAGCUAUAUGUAUAUGAUUGUACAUAUAUUCAUAUGUAUAUCGCGAAAAGUGCGAGAUUUUUUCUUUAUACAGAGAGAGAUCCGGAGAGUGAGCAGCACAGUCAAGGCCCACAGAGACUCCUAUUUAAAUUGGCAACUGAUUCAUUAGUCGCAUUAGCCCAAGUUGAUAAGCAUAAUUAAUUACGCCGCUAGCCAGCCAGCUUUGAUGUAUCGACGGAACCGAACAGCUCCUCCUUGUGGUUCGCCUCCUGUCACCGCAAAGUGGCCGCCACAAAUCCAAGUGUAUUUAAAUAAAUUUAAAUGAAUUGUAAUUGAUGGGAUACCUGGCCACCGGGGCCCACGGAAGGUAUUUCCCGACGAUUCAUGGGUCUCUGUCUUGCAAGUCGCCGAUCGGAUCGUGAAUAGAUUAGUUGAGUUGGAAUGUACGCAUGACAUCUGCUGGUGAUGAUUUCGGGCGCCUCAAUCAAUUAUAGUGGUGAUGGAUGGAUUGAUGUGUAAACUUUAUAGUCAUUACUUAAAUAUACAUUUUAGAAAUGUAAAAAAAACUUCAUUUGCUUAUAAAAUGUGCUACAGGAAGUGAAACAAAACCAUUUAGAUGAUUUUUCCUGGUAGGAAUAACACAAAAUAUUAAAAAUGUAAUCAAUAAGUUUGAUUUUAUAUUUUUAAGUGCCAUAUUUUGUAAUAUAUCAAAGCUUACUAUACUUCUAUAUUGAGUUCGAUAUUUUGUUCAAGAUAUAAUAUAAAACCUUCCUUUCUUGAUAUAAAGAUAUAAUUAUUAGUCAUUGUGUACAUUUCACAUGGAUAACCCAUCAAUCACUUCAAAAUUUACUGCAUUCCGCUUGUCUGUAAUUGAAUCAAAGUAAAUAGCUUUCAUCACUUGAUGGAUAGCAUAGUAAUCCAUCAUCAUAGAACGGAAUUCAAUUGAAAUUAAUAACAUAAUGAGAUUAAUCAGUUGAAAUAAAUAGCAAACGAAAAGGGAGUU